GAAAUGCGAUACGUAGUGUGAAUUGCAGAAUUCAGUGAAUCAUCGAAUCUUUGAACGCACAUUGCGCCCUUUGGUAUUCCAAAGGGCAUGCCUGUUCGAGCGUCAUUUGUACCCUCAAGCUUUGCUUGGUUUUGGGCGUUUUUGUCUUUGGCCCGCCAAAGACUCGCCUUAAAAUGAUUGGCAGCCGGCCUACUGGUUUCGCAGCGCAGCACAUUUUUGCGCUUGCAAUCAGCAAAAGAGGACGGCAAUCCAUCAAGACUCCUUCUCACGUUUGACCUCGGAUCAGGUAGGGAUACCCGCUGAACUUAAGC
rnacentral:misc_RNA from 1 species